UUCUUCUCUUUGCUUCUGGCUCCCUUUCUAAUUUAAGUUUAAUAAUUCAAGAUAAUUUUUCCAACUUGGAAGGUAUUUUCCCUUCCAUAUACUGUUUUUUUGGUUUGUUUCACAAGGACCAGUUUUCAUAUCCUGAGCAGGUGUAGCCCUGGCCAUAGGGCAGCCUCAUGUGAAUCACAAAUGGAUACACACCAGAGAAGAGAUGUCAACAGUCUUCCUGAUGCAUCAUUCAGAGGGGCACUCCAAAUAAUGCCUCAGAGCUAAAGCCUGUCAACCACUUCUGCUGUACAGACACCUGCAAGAAUUGAGACUCGUGCUCACGGCUGGAGUAGCUCAGGAAAAUGAAAAUACGUAGUGGAGAAAACCAUAAUUCAAAAAGAUAUAUGCACUGCAAUGUUUGUUUCAGCAAUAUCUACAAUGGCCAAGACAUGGAAACAUGCCCAUCAACAGAGGAAUGGAUA